CUCUAUAUUCCGGUAUCUGUUACACCAAAGAGAUACCAGCAAAUUUGCACUCGGUGCACAAACUACCUCAGUCUCUCAAACUCGAUUGUACCAGGUUCACUUCUUACUCAAAUUAGAAUUCUAAAUUGCUGUGAAACUUCCGUCAUCAUUCAUCAGGCAAGAUGCAGCGUGUUCUUGUAAUAAUGAUCAUUUCUAUGAUUUUUGUGGCUGGUGUUCUGGAUGGAGCAGGGGGAAUGGAAAUUCAGAGGCGUCGUCCUCCUCAUGGCGUUGUGAGAGAAACCAGAGACGUGGCUGGGGAAAUGUCAUCCCUGAAAGUGACGAAGGAAGAAAACGAUCAGCUCAAGGAGGAGGAUUUGGGAGAUAAAUAAAGGUCACGCCAUCAGACGACCUGGGUGUAGCUUUAAUAACAAUGUCUUUAAAUUGAUAGCGAAAUUAUCAGCCUCCUGGGCACUCAUUGGGCUUGUUACAAGAUACAUGUAUGAUGUCCACUGCUC